GGAUGGAUGAUAACUACAGGAACUGAUCUCAUUGGAAAAUCUGAAAGAAAUGUGUGACAAAAUCACUUCUGUGAAACUGAGGCCC
rnacentral:snoRNA from 1 species